AAAUCAACUUGUUGAUCUACCCGACUAUUGUUGCAUAGGCUAGAAGGCUCUGCAACUAACGUUAGUAUUCUUCCACCGUCCUUGUCUACUUCAAAUUAACCAAUUUUCCCAAAGAAUUGUUACUGAAUGGAGGCCCGAAUCUUAAAUUGCAGUAUCCUUUGAAUGCAUUUCAUGAUAGUCAUGGUUCUUUUUGUUCUAAUCUAUAGAACAAGAGCUAAGCAUUUCCAUCAUAUGAAAUGUGGAAAGUCCUACUUUAGCUCCCCUCAAGUGUUCAUUGAUUGGAGAAGAAUUGCUUUCAUCUGAGUAACUAACUAAAAGAGUCCUCUGUACUUCCAUCAUACAUUGGAAAAUGCAACUUAGCAUAUUGUGGCACCAUUCCAAUUCCUGGGCGUACCUUUGUUCUUCUUUCAGUCCUAUUGUCAAAAUUUAUAUUACUGCUACUACUGCCCAUUCAUUUGUUUGAUUCCCUUCCUUAGUUCCCACUAAUUCCGAGAAAGAAUUUUUGCAAUUGCUUAGAUAAAUUCUGCAACUGGGCUUACAAUCUUGCCUUUGACUGUGCCACCCGUGCCUCCAUCCUAGAUUUUGCUUGACUACUCUAGCUUCGG
rnacentral:misc_RNA from 1 species